GCUUUUUGAGAAUAAGAAUAAAGCAAUAAACAAGUUUGUAUUUCAAUAUGUUGUCAAUGAUAUUUCGUGUCCUUACAAAUGAUGAGACUUCUUCCUUUUAUAGUCGAUUCUGGGUAAAGGAAUGAAACUUCAGCUUUAAUGAGACAAUUAUGAGUAAUAAAUGACACUAAAUAAGCCGUUACACAAUCAUUCUCAAUAAAUACUGAUUUUUCAACGUAUUGGAUAUUUGAUACUGAAUUUGGACUCCUUUUAAUCUUCAGAUCCAUCUCUUUAGUGCCUUUUGAUCUGUUAGCCUUAAAUGACUUGAAUUGGUACGAGACUCAUGUCUAAACUCCUUCUCGUGCCUGUUUAACUUUCUCUUCCCGUAUUUGUCAUCUCCCGUGUCGUUUACUCAAUUGUUACACUUUGACUACUUGACCAGUCUACGUGUCACGCUACGUCAUCUUUAAUUUAAAUUCUAUUUUUUCCCAAUACACUUUCCCUUAAGAACCACGUGCAAAUCACGUGUUAUGUCUCUGUUAGGUUUUUAACGGGAGUGAG
rnacentral:lncRNA from 1 species